rnacentral:rRNA from 1 species
UUCGCCCAUUAAAGCGGUACGCGAGCUGGGUUCAGAACGUCGUGAGACAGUUCGGUCCCUAUCCGUCGUGGGCGUAGGAAAUUUGAGAGGAGCUGUCCUUAGUACGAGAGGACCGGGAUGGACAUACCUCUGGUGUACCAGUUGUCGUGCCAACGGCAUAGCUGGGUAGCUAUGUGUGGACGGGAUAAGUGCUGAAAGCAUCUAAGCAUGAAGCCCCCCUCAAGAUGAGAUUUCCCAACUUCGGUUAUAAGAUCCCUCAAAGAUGAUGAGGUUAAUAGGUUCGAGGUGGAAGCAUGGUGACAUGUGGAGCUGACGAAUACUAAUCGAUCGAAGACUUAAUCAA